GACGAACGCUGGCGGCGUGCUUAACACAUGCAAGUCGAACGGAAAGGCCCUGCUUUUGUGGGGUGCUCGAGUGGCGAACGGGUGAGUAACACGUGAGUAACCUGCCCUUGACUUUGGGAUAACUUCAGGAAACUGGGGCUAAUACCGGAUAGGAGCUCCUGCUGCAUGGUGGGGGUUGGAAAGUUUCGGCGGUUGGGGAUGGACUCGCGGCUUAUCAGCUUGUUGGUGGGGUAGUGGCUUACCAAGGCUUUGACGGGUAGCCGGCCUGAGAGGGUGACCGGCCCCCUUGGGACUGGGAUACGGCCCAGACUCCUACGGGAGGCAGCAGUGGGGAAUAUUGCACAAUGGGCGGAAGCCUGAUGCAGCAACGCAGCGUGCGGGAUGACGGCCUUCGGGUUGUAAACCGCUUUCGCCUGUGACGAAGCGUGAGUGACGGUAAUGGGUAAAGAAGCAACGGCUAACUACGUG
rnacentral:rRNA from 1 species